GGCAGAUUUUGCCCUAUAGUUUGUGCACUUUUCCUCUACUAUCUGAGAUUUUCCUAGGUUUCAAUAUAUACCACAGAAUGAAAUAUAUAUUUGCUGCCAGGAACCAGAGAAAAAUCAGCAUUUGGUAAAAAGUACAAUUGAGUUCUAUAUUUUACAGAGAGGAGUUGCAAAUUGCUGUGUUUUUCCAGGUAUUGUGAAAUUCUCAGAAGAAAAGGUCGUAUUACAGGGGCACUUUUUAGACUCGAAAAUCUCACUAUUCCUUCUGGAAUAUCUGGUGCUUUCUACUGUAUCUUCUUUUUUGCUUCAGUUGAUGGACAUGGAAACUUCCUUAACAAAGUUGGGGUUUCAUCCAGUGACUUUAUAUCAGUGGAGAUCUUUCCACCAAUUUCAACGAGAGCUGUAUGCAGCUCUUGAAUUGCCAUCAUUUUCCAACUAGUGAAGACACUUGAGCAUCUGGUGCUGUUCUAGCAAGCUUCUUACAUAGCCGUGGUGAGAAUUUUGAGGCUGACACAGAAAGAAUUUUCCAGGGCUCACAAGCUCUUUGUAUCUUUUUUUCAUUUUAGAAACGCUCCUGACACACUUGUGAUACUGUUUGAAUAUGAAAAAAUUGAAGAGAAAGCUAAACUGAGCAUUGUAAAACAUUCUGGGCAAGUGUUUGCUUAAGUUUAAAAAUGAACUUGCUUCUCUGUGCUUAUACAAUUUUUUAGCACUUUGGAAUAUCUGAGAUGCGUGACUGCUCUUGGAACGUGGAGCUCAACCCCCUCCACCAGACUUGGCAGGUGAUGAGGUCAGGGUUGAGAAGAAAUAGUCAUAAUGGGGACAACAAUGGGAGAGGCCUUGUGGUGUUUUUUCCUGAGUUUAGGAGGACAGUUUCUCCAUCUCCCACUGCCUUCUGCAAGGUAGAGGUGGCGCAGUGCAGUCUAGCAGAUAGCCCAAAUAGGCAACAUCUCAGCAUUGUGGUGAGAAUAUGCCCUCAGUUAUCUGAAGAACCUCCUCAGCAAUAA
rnacentral:lncRNA from 1 species